CUUAUAUUUAGGUUUUGAUCCAUUUGAGUUAAUUUUUUGUACAUGGUGCAGGUAAGGGUCCAACUUCAUUCUUUUGCAUGUAGAUACCCAGUUCUCCCAGGACCAUUUGUUGAAAAGGCAGGCACCUCAUUUUACAGAAGAGGAAACUGAGGCCCAGAAAGAGAAGUGGCAUGCCCAAGGCUGUGCCAGAAGCAAAGUGUAAAAUAGAUCCUGAGCCUCCGACUCCUGGUAAAACCAGCUGCUGAAGAACGUUUUUCCUCUCAAGGCUUUGGCACUUAAGAUUCAACAGUAAGAAGGAUUGAAGAGUGAAGGCUUCCUGGCUACCCCGUGGCAUCCUGUGUUUGGUUUGAAGCGUGAUAAGCCUGGGUUGCUCUUCCAGUCCACCUUGUAAGAGACUGAUGUGGAAAAAUGUGUCUCUUCUCAAGGGCUAACUCUGGAAGCUUGGGAAAAUAUUCUAGAUUUGGAUCACAUUAAAAUGGGUAUUAGACCUAGGUUCUAGUUCCAUCUCUAAGAUCUGGAUAUGUCAAAAUCCUUUUCCCUUUGUAGGUUUUAAGUUUGGCCUCUUUAAAUAAAGAAACAAUCACCCAUGCUUUGUCUUUUAACUUGCUACUUAAAACAAGGAGCUGAAGACACUGGCCAUCAUCAAAUAACUAAUGGACAAUUCCCACUGCCUCGCUGAAAUUUGCAGUCUGACUCUCAUCAUCUCUUGCCUUUUUUUUUUUGCUUUGGCUGUGUUUGUGAAACUGCCUUUGCAAAGAUUAUGAGAGGGAGUCUAGCAUGGCCAACUCCAUCUUGCUUCUAGCCUCAUGGGCUGGCUUCCCUUGCUCAUUCCUAGCCAUAGGCCAAGCUAACCAUGGGAGGAAUUUAGUUUAUAGUUUAACUUUGAAGCAAAGAUGAUACUAUUUUAUCCCUAAAACAGAUCCCUUCCUUGUUCGGGUUCUGAAACCACCUUUGUAAGACUAAUGAAAAGCCACAAGAUUAGGAUUAUGGAAAGGGCCUGAAUCCUGCUCAAAUGGAGGCAUCAUUUCUAUACUUCCUUACUGCUCAGGAGUUAUGUGGCCAAAUGGCACAGAGUUGUGACUUCCUCAAUUGCUCCUGUGGAUAACAUCACUAUUGUAGAACCUAAGGCUGGUCUUUUGAGCUGUUUUUCAGAUUUUUGCAUUCUGGCAACUGAGUGAUGCCUCCCAGACUCAUGACUCAACCAGUCCUAUGGCCUCCACCCAGAGGUGGACUCAGCACAUGAGGACUGUUUUCCUCGCACUUCUGUGAUCUCAUCCCUAACCAAUCAGUAGCACUCAUUCCCUAGCUCCCUGCCCACCAAAUUUUCCAUAAAAAGCCUAGCCUCUGAGCUCUUGGGGAGAUUGACUUGAGUGAUAAACUCCAGUUCUUCUCUAUGGCCAGUCUUGUAUUAAUUAAACUCUUUCUUUACUGCAAUACCAUGGUCUCAGUGAAUGGUUUGAUCUGUGCAGCAUGCAGGAAAAACUCAUCAAUCAAUUACAUUUGUCACUAAGUCCUCUCAGCUGGAGACUCAUCAAUGAUAUUAAAUUUUAAAAAACUACCAAGCGAAUACAAUUCAAGUGGAAGCUCACCUGUGGAGCAAUGGGAACACACUGUUAUUCAACAGGGCUGAAGUCUGAAUCAGAUGCCCGGAGGAGAUACGUUGUCUUGGCUUUGCCACUCACUGGCUAUGUGAUCUUGGAUAAGUCACCUCACUCCUCUUGAUCUCAGCUCCCUCUUCUUUAAGAAAAAAAAUAAAGUAGUGAUAAUUUUAAUAGUCAACAUUUACUGACUGUAAUCUAAAAAUGGGGUUAAGUAAAUUGCAUGCAUUACCUUUAACACAACUGUGACAUAGGAAUUAUUGUAACAUAAACAGCCUCAUAAAAUCUGUAUUUUACAGAUAAGGAAACUAAGUUUCAGAGAUAAUAAGUGGUGGAGCCGGAUUCAAACCCAAGUUCUUAACCACCAAGAUCAUAGCAAUUAUAAAUCAGUUUCAGCUUGAAUUUGAACUCUCUGGAUGCUAGGAUUCAGAAGAGAUGUGACAUCUGUGAAGAACUGAUGGUGUCAGUCUGCCAGGCAUUUAGUUAUAUGAGGAACCCAGAGUGAGGUUAGCAUCAGGGAGUCACUGGUUCUAGAGCAGAGGGAAGAUUCUAUUUACUUUUGAUGUUGGUCACUACAAAGUUAUGGUGCCAGCAAGAGAGCAAAGUAAAAACAAAAAGGCCUGGGAUAUUAGUAUGCAGGUCAUCUGGAGAAUUGGUGCCAGCAUCUUCUGUAGUAAUUGAUGAGGAUGCCCCAUCAUUGACAUCAACGACGUUGACAGUGGACACUGGCAGGAAUUGAAUGCCUUGAGCAGACACCAGUCACAGUGUCGGCAGUGGCUGGGAGUCAUUACCCCCAAUGUGCCACGGCCGGAGGGGAUAAAUGCAGCAGAUGUCACAUGGCAGCCCAGAGGAGCAGUUUGCAGAGCACAUGUGAGAAACCCUCUGAGGAUACCCAGGAGACACCACGGGAGACAGAAACCCAGGACUGUACUUGAAUGAAAUUCGAGAGAGAGCUUACAUUUCUAUAGAACAGAAGUGUAUCUUCCUGAAGAAAUUUUGUGUUUGCUCUUGAGAUCCUAUUUUUACCCUCAGACUUGGGUGGUCUGAAAAAUGUAGGUUACUGAUGAGAUGGAAGGGUGCGACUCCACAGUGCUCUGCAAGGGUCUUUCACUUUGCCUCAUGAUUCCCAGAAUUACAGCAUUUCAAACUCCAUUGACAGAAACACCAGGGCUGGCAAAUGCAGUGCAGAUCCAUUGGUGAGUCUUGAAAGGAUUUCUGAUGCUAAUUUGUUGCCCUUGGGACUAACUGGAGUUAAAUUAUGAUUAUUCCUAAUGUGGUGGUCCCAGUACUGUUUGGCGAGGAACGUGAAUACUUUCUCUAACUGGCCACAGUGCUCUCCAGGGAAAGAUGUUUGAUCUGGGGCACUGAGGCAUUCUUCCCUGCUGAUUGUUGGGAAAUGCAGCUCCUCUGUGGAAAGGGGCUUUGCUGCCAUCGUAUUGAGGUAAGUGCCUAUAGGGAAGAGAGGUGAAGUGGGGGAGACGUAGACCACAUUCCUCCUACCAGGAAAAAGGGGCUGGCUUCUUUCUGAGAACUGCUUUCUGCUGGGAAGGGGCUGGAUGAGCCAUGUAACCCCACCUUUUGCUUGGAAAUGAAGAGCUUUCCCACUCCAGAGGAAGGAGAGGGGAGGAGAGGAGGGAAAGGGCUGCAGAGCAUGUUCCUCCCGUUCCCUCUCAAGCAGAAAGGAAAGCUGUCUUCAAUUAGGAAGGGGAAGGAGAUUCAAAACAUCUGGCGGGAAAAGUGCUGGUUCUGGAGGGUCUUUGGGAGGAGGAUGGAGGCUUGUGGACAGCGCGCCUGCCUUGCUGGACCUGACACAGCCCUCUGAGAGUCUGUCACCACCUCUUCCUCUUCAGCUCUGUCUGGUCUCCUUGUGAGGCUGAGCCUUUGGCUGCCUCCUGCCCUGGGCUAAAGGAAGCAGUAACAGCAGCCACAACCUGGGCAGCACAGCCCACAGCUUUCUCCUCGGGGGUCAAUGGGUAAUUUGCACAACAGAGAGACCACCCACGGAGGCAGUACAGAGUUCACAACCUCUAGCACUUAGGCAUCUAAUCAGUUUGGUUUUGCCUGUGGAGAGCUUCCCCUUGAAUCUCAAAGCUACCAAGCUGCCUUCCUCCCCAUCCUUUAAAAUACUUCCAGGCUCCCAUCUCCUCUUAGGAGCCUUCUUGAAAUAUUUGCAGAAACUUUAUAUUCCUCCUCCCCAACCACAUACACAAUGUCACAGCUGCCUCUUCCAUUUGCUUGCAUCUCCUGUGGACUGCUCACCUUCUCCACCCCAAGCAAAGCAGAUGGCUGAGGGACAUUCAGGUUGCUUACAGAGCUGUGGAAAAUUCUCUGGAAAUCACCUGCCUGUCCUAGAGACCCCAGGUUUCCCAGGAGUCACAAGGCACCAAAGCCUGGAGGUUCCUUAAAGAUCACCUGCUGGGUGGGAUUUACUACAUUCCCCAGGAGGUCACGGCCCAGGGCCUCUGAUCAGGAUUUCCUUUGGGGUGGGCAGAUUGGGUGUGGAAAGGAGGCCAGGAAAGGCCUUUUGGUUUUCUCAAUGACUGACAGAGCAGAGGGGUGAUCUGAGAAGGAGCUGGGCAUUCCAGGAUUGUGCAAAUGUGGGCCCAGCAUCUGUUUUCCAUUAGCCUCUUUCAUUGAAACAUGGUAGUCUCUUAUGAGUUUAAAGUUUGUAUUAAGCAUCCAGGCCCUAGAAAGUUCUUUGUUUCAUGGAAGGUGAACUCCCCAUCCCACUUAAAAGCCAUGGAAUUGUGUGCCAUAUCCCAAAGGAGCACCCAUUCAAAGGCACAUGCCAAAGCUUUAUCCCUGCCCUAUGGGCCAUGAUGGCUCCUGAGACUUCCAGCCAUGAUGGCAAGAAGCAGUUGACUAUCACUCCUAAACCUCAG
rnacentral:lncRNA from 1 species